GACAUGGUACAGGUCUGCAACUCCAAGAACAGCAUUGACAUUGCCAUAUUGGCAAUGCCAUUGUGCAAGUCUAGGACGCUAAUCAAGAGAAGAGGCUAAAUGAUUCUUCCCAAGAACAAUUCUGUACACUAACAUUGACAGGGCGAAAUGGUAGUCACAUUGUGAAAAGGGAGUAAAAAAAAAUAAUCAAGUUUACUGACCUUGGAACCCCUUGCCGAUGGACUUGCCGGAGAUGUCGACGAGGUCGCCCUCCUUGAACAUGUCGGCGAAGUCGAGCGGCUGGCCGGGGUCGUACCCGUCGACGGACUGGAGGCGGAACUCCUGCAGGUGGCGGAGCGGCGGC